rnacentral:rRNA from 1 species
CCUACGGGAGGCAGCAGUGGGGGAUAUUGGACAAUGGGGGAAACCCUGAUCCAGCGACGCCGCGUGAGUGAAGAAGUAUUUCGGUAUGUAAAGCUCUAUCAGCAGGGAAGAAAGAAAUGACGGUACCUGAGUAAGAAGCCCCGGCUAACUACGUGCCAGCAGCCGCGGUAAUACGUAGGGGGCAAGCGUUAUCCGGAAUUACUGGGUGUAAAGGGAGCGUAGACGGUAAUGCAAGUCUGGAGUGAAAGGCUGGGGCCCAACCCCCGGACUGCUCUGGAAACUGUGUAACUAGAGUGCGGGAGGGGUAAGCGGAAUUCCUAGUGUAGCGGUGAAAUGCGUAGAUAUUAGGAGGAACACCGGUGGCGAAGGCGGCUUACUGGACCGUAACUGACGUUGAGGCUCGAAAGCGUGGGGAGCAAACAGGAUUAGAUACCCCAGUAGUC